rnacentral:rRNA from 1 species
UACGUAGGGUGCGAGCGUUAAUCGGAAUUACUGGGCGUAAAGCGUGCGCAGGCGGUUCUCCAAGUCCGUUGUGAAAGCCCCGGGCUCAACCUGGGAGUGGCAGUGGAAACUAGGGGACUUGAAUCUGGCAGAGGGGGGUGGAAUUCCACGUGUAGCAGUGAAAUGCGUAGAGAUGUGGAGGAACACCGAUGGCGAAGGCAGCCCCCUGGGCUGAGAUUGACGCUCAGGCACGAAAGCGUGGGGAGCAAACAGG